AUUGAACGCUAGCGGGAUGCUUUACACAUGCAAGUCGAACGAGUGGCGGACGGGUGAGUAAUAUAUCGGAACGUGCCCAGUAGCGGGGGAUAACUACUCGACAGCGUGGCUCAGACCGCAUUCUCUCGGAGCGGCCGAUAUGGGAUUAGCUAGUUGGUGGGGUAAAGGCUCACCAAGGCAACGAUCCGUAGCUGGUUUGAGAGGAUGACCAGCCACACUGGGACUGAGACACGGCCCAGACUCCUACGGGAGGCAGCAGUGGGGAAUUUUGGACAAUGGGGGAAAGCCUGAUGCAGCCAUCCCGCGUGUAUGAGAAGGCCUUCGGGUUGUAAAGUACUUUUGGCAGAGAAGCGGUAUCUGCAGAAUAAGCACCGGCUAACUACGUGCCAGCAGCCGCGGUAAUAC
rnacentral:rRNA from 1 species